rnacentral:piRNA from 1 species
CAGAAAAGGACAUUCCUACUCUGCCAGAGUC